rnacentral:rRNA from 1 species
UGGGGAAUUUUGCGCAAUGGGCGAAAGCCUGACGCAGCAACGCCGCGUGAGUGAUGAAGGCUUUCGGGUCGUAAAGCUCUGUCAAGGGGAAAGAAAUGUAUUGUGGCUAAUAUCCGCGAUACUUGACGGUACCCCUAGAGGAAGCACCGGCUAACUCCGUGCCAGCAGCCGCGGUAAUACGGGGGGUGCAAGCGUUGUUCGGAAUUAUUGGGCGUAAAGCGCGUGUAGGCGGUUUGUUAAGUCUGAUGUGAAAGCCCUGGGCUCAACCCAGGAAGUGCAUUGGAAACUGGCAGACUUGAAUACGGGAGAGGGUAGUGGAAUUCCUGGUGUAGGAGUGAAAUCCGUAGAUAUCAGGAGGAACACCGGUGGCGAAGGCGGCUACCUGGACCGAUAUUGACGCUGAGACGCGAAAGCGUGGGUAGCAAACA